rnacentral:piRNA from 1 species
UNGCCUGGUCUACAGACUGAGUUCCAGGA